GCGCUAUUGGAGCGGCCGAUGUCAGAUUAGCUAGUUGGUGGGGUAAAAGCCUACCAAGGCGACGAUCUGUAGCUGGUCUGAGAGGACGACCAGCCACACUGGGACUGAGACACGGCCCAG
rnacentral:rRNA from 1 species